UACAGAGGUGGCAAGCGUUGUUCGGAAUUACUGGGCGUAAAGGGCGCGUAGGCGGCCUUCUAAGUCAGACGUGAAAUCCCCCGGCUUAACCUGGGAACUGCGUCUGAUACUGGGAGGCUUGAGUAUGGGAGAGGGAUGUAGAAUUCCAGGUGUAGCGGUGAAAUGCGUAGAUAUUGGGAAGAACACCGGUGGCGAAGGCGGCGACCUGGUCCGUGACUGACGCUGAGGCGCGAAAGCGUGGGGAGCAAACAGG
rnacentral:rRNA from 1 species